UGGCGGACGGGUGAGUAAUGUCUGGGAAACUGCCUGAUGGAGGGGGGAGUAACUACUGGAAACGGUAGCUAAUACCGCAUAACGUCGCAAGACCAAAGAGGGGGACCUUCGGGCCUCUUGCCAUCGGAUGUGCCCAGAUGGGAUUAGCUAGUAGGUGGGGUAACGGCUCACCUAGGCGACGAUCCCUAGCUGGUCUGAGAGGAUGACCAGCCACACUGGAACUGAGACACGGUCCAGACUCCUACGGGGAGGCAGCAUG
rnacentral:rRNA from 1 species